UUUUCGUCUGCAGAAAAGAGGAUGAGAACCUCCGAAGGAGGUUUGAGCCGAGCGUAGCGAGACAACGUUGCUUCAGCAACGGCCCGCAGGGCGCGGCUCGCAGAGCAGUGUAAUCCUCUCUCGCCGACCA
rnacentral:sRNA from 2 species